UGCAGUAUUUCCUUUUGGUCCUUUAUGUUUUGAGUUUAAACCCUACCAAAGUCAAGUUUGCCUUUCAUCCUUCCUGAGUUGAAAAUGUUUAGUGCACCAGUUAAACACUUGCCCCAAAUCUCUGGCCUUGUACCUGUAUUGGAAGUGAUUAUUUAUUAAUUUUAUCUAAAAAAAGAAAUUUAGUUUCAAGCAUUUUAUUUUGCAUUUUGUCUUACAUCAGCAAAAUUUAUUUGUCAGUGAAUUCAAUAUUGGCUAUAAUUGCCUGUAAGAAAGUGAGGAACUCUGUUUCGUUGAUAUGUGAGCUUCCCCACAAUCAUUAUUUGAGUAGAGUUUUAAACUAUAAUUCAACUUCUGGUUGCUAGUUGCAAUUGCAGAGAUAUUGAUGCAUGUUUUCUCCACCCUCAUCCCCACAAUGUGAUCAGUAAAUAGCUAGCUAUUGGCUGCUAAAUAACAUGAUACUUUAUACCAGUUCUAUAGUAUUUUAUUUCUGCUGUUCCUCACCAUCUCUCUCUUUCUCUUCUUUCUUUCUCUUCAUAUUUCAACCCCUCUAUCUAUCUUUCUUUUCCUUUUUUUUUUCUUUCAUUCUAACAUUCCCAUCUCCAAACACAGAUCAAAGGGCUUAGUACUGCUAGUGCAAGCUACUACAGCAGUAACAGCACAACAUAAAUGUAAGAUCUACAGCUGUCACAAAAGGAAAAUUAUCAUAAAAUGAACAUGAAACUACCAGCAGAACACUGGGGAAAUUUUCAGUGUCACCAAAGACAAAAAUAAAAUGAAUUAAGGAAUCUGUCAACCACUGUUGUGAUGUGUAAAGAUAUAUAGGUAUAUAUAUUUGCAAUAUAAAUAUAGAAUGUAAUAGCCAUUCACUUCAAAAUAUCAUUAACUUCUCUUCCUUGUGAUGUUAUUAACUGGAAAAGAUAUACAAAUAUUCCGUAUUCUUCCUCGAACUGAAUAAUUUGCAAUUGUUAUUAGUUUCAUUUGCUACUAUAACAACUUCCUCUGUUCAUAGCAUUUGUUUAACUAGUAAUACAGGUGACUGGGCAGGCAAAAACACUUAAGUCAGUUUAUAGCUAAGGUUUGUUUAUUCAUUUAUGUUUUUUUUGUCAAUAUUUAACAACUUGAAUUCAAAAAUCAAAGGAAUUUAGUUGAAAUUAUGUUUGCACUUUUCUGUACAAUAUUGCUAUAUGUAUAUAGCUACUGUUUGAGUGUUGAUUUUACAUACCACAUUAAGGAAGGAAAUAUGCCAAGUUCAUAUAUUGGAGACAUUGCAGUUGACACACAUAUGAUAGAAAAGAUUAAAUCUGAGGAACGCCAUUUAAUCAGAUUCAAUCAGCUACAAAAAGACAAAGAAAAUGCCUCGCAAUUGUUUAAUAUUUCAGAAGAUGGGAAAUUCUAUGUAAUCCAAACUCUAGAUGCAGAAACACUUUGUAAAUAUAAAAAAAUGUGUUUCAGAAUGGUAGAUGUUGCCAUGCAGAAGAGAGAAAUAUUUGUUCGAAUUUUAGAGAUCAAAGUAGUUGUGGAAGACAUCAAUGAUCAUCAACCUGUGUUUCCAGUAAAACAAAUAACUCUUGAGUUUUCUGAAGGGGAUAAAAAAGGAACUACUUUAUCAAUUCCAAAUGCCAUUGAUGAAGACAUCAGUGAAGAAAAUUCCAGGAUAACAUAUAAAUUAUUGUCUAACAAUAAGGUGCCUUUCAUAAUGGUUGUUUCUGAAAGAGUAGAUGGUUCAUAUUCAGUUGGAAUAACUUUAGAAACUGAAUUAGAUAGAGAAAUUAAAGAUCAUUAUUAUUUUCAAAUAAUUGCUAAGGAUGGAGGAAAGCCAUCUAAACAUGGUAUCUUAAAAGUUUAUGUAUCUGUCUUAGACAUAAAUGAUAAUUUGCCACUUUUUUCUCAAGAUGUUUAUAAUAUAUCUAUUAAUUGCAAAUAUAAAGUAAAUAAAGCUGUAAUGGAUUUAGAUGCAGAGGAUCUUGACACUGGUGAAAAUGGUAAGGUUAUGUAUCACUUCAGCUCAAAGACUUCAGAAAUGACAAAAUCACAUUUUCAGUUAAAUGAAAUAACUGGGGAAAUAUUUCUUUGUGAAAAUUUCCCUUUCAAGAAGCGUCAAACAUAUGAAUUGUACGUUGAAGCUACAGAUGGAGGAAACCCUCCUCUGUCUUCUAUCGCUAUGAUACUUGUCAAUGUUGUCAACCAGCGAAAUAAUCCUCCCAUUAUUGAUAUGAAUUUCGUUUCCAAAUCUUCUAACAAUAUGGCGACCAUAUUAGAAAAUACUAAAAUUGGUAGUUUUAUUGCAUAUGUAAAGAUUUCUGAUACUGAUACUGGACAAAAUGGAAAAGUUACCUGCACUCUCCAGCAUGAUAAAUUUCAGCUUCAAAAUCUAGGUGAGAAAAAAUACAAAGUGGUUUUGAAAAGUUUUGCUGAUAAGGAAAAAGAAAGUCAUAUUACUUUUAAAGUGAUUUGUGAAGACAAUGGGUUUCCACGUUUGAGAACAGAGAAAGAGUUCUCUGUUUUAGUAACUGAUAUUAAUGAUGUAAUACCACAGUUUAACAAAGAAACCUACAAAUUCUUGAUAUACGAGAAUGAAGAAUCUAAUUUUCCAGUAGGAUUUGUCAAUGCAACUGACCCAGAUAUGGGACUAGGUGGACAGUUAACAUUUUCCUUGUUUUCAAAAAAUAAUGUUGCUCUUCCCUUUCAAAUAACAAACUAUGGAUUUAUAUCAACUACAGAAUCACUUGACCGUGAACAAAAAGAUAUAUACAUCUUUCAGGUUUUAGUUAAAGAUAGUGGGACUCCAAGACUAAAUAAUACUGUUGAUGUUAUUGUUGAAGUUAUGGAUAAAAAUGAUAAUGCUCCAUAUUUUACUUUCCCUAGUGUUAAUCCUUUCAGUCUAGAUAUCUAUUUCCAGCCCCAAAAUAACAAUGAUGUCACUAAGUUAAAAGCAUAUGACAAAGACAGUAAAGAGAAUGCGUUUCUCAAAUAUGAAAUAUUAGAAGGGAAUGAGAAAGAAUUAUUCACAAUGAACUGUUAUACAGGGGUAUUAUCUUUUUCCCGAAAUGUUUAUCAGAAUGAGGCAGGAGUGUAUAAUCUUCUAUUUGUUGUCAAAGACAAUGGGAUUCCAAUUCUCUCUACAACCACUUCUCUAUCUUUAACUCUAGUUGCUAGCAAUCAUACAUUCCCCUUGUUGACAAUAGCAACCAAUGAGUUAGAUUUCAAAAUUCAAAUGAAUUUAUUUCUCAUGAUCAUAGCAGCAGCGGUGUCAGGUUCUGUAAUAAUGGUGAUUUCAAUAACAAUAUGUGUUGUAAAGAAAACCAACAAGAUAAAGACUUCUAGUAAACAGAGAAUCAAUCCUUCAGACAAAAUCUUCAGUGUUGAUAGAGAAACACAAAAUACUUCUGAACAAAUAUCUUAUAAUCCUCCAUUGCUCAGAGAAAACACUCAACAAAACAGCUUACUCCAACUUCAAGAGGAGAAAGGGCAACAUUUAUCCAAUUAUAAAGUGACACUGAAUGGAACAAAUUUAAAUAGCAGAAUUCCAUACCAAGCAACUAGCAAGGAAAUACACCAGAUAUAUGUUCAAAAUGCUCACAGACCUGCCAGUCAUAGAAAAAAUAAAGAAGACUUUCAAUGUAAUUUUUACAAUUACCGACAAAUGACAGCAAAAUCUCAGAAUGACUGUGAAUUCAUUGAGAAAGUGGGAUCACAUUAUGAAGAGCUAUCAGCAACUACAGUGAUUUAACUCCAUAGAGCUGGCUGAAUACUUGCCCCUACCCAUCAUCACUGCCACACAGGUCUUCAUCCUGACCAAAAUGACUUCCAGCAAGCCUCAACAAGUCAGUCCCGAGUUUAUGCUUAUUCUGGCAGCAAUUCUUCAUAUC
rnacentral:misc_RNA from 1 species